rnacentral:lncRNA from 1 species
ACAGCCGCCACAUCAGCGCUCCAGGCUGGGUCACAGGCCUGCUCGAUGCGCUCCAGUACCACACUAUCCCACUGCUUCUUGGCCAGGGUGAACUGGCGGUUGGGCUCCAGCUCGAUGGUGUGAUGAAAACGUCUAGUUGCAGGAAAACAGGCUGAGGGCUCCCACUGAUUCUACAUUAUGGGCUGGAAUCUGAGUAGCUGAGGUGCUUAUGUGACUACAUGCCUACAUCACUGACCCCCAAUAAACACCUUGGACACAAGACUCAGAUAAAGAAACCUCAGAUCAAAUAUAAGCAUCAAAAUCUACAAAGAUUUUAGAGGGUGAAGAAACACGGAAAGAUCUCUGGUGAUGGAGCCAGCAUUGAUGAACCAAGAAAAGUCUUAAACGUGAAGAAGCCUGUGAUAAACAAGGACUGUGCCCAGGGGAAUAACAAGGAAGAAAAAUGUCAGAAGAAUUAGUUUCUCUCUAAUUGAACAAAUGUAUUUAUAUUUCCUUGUUGAUAGGCAUAGAUUCUCAAUGAGAAACUGAAACUUAUGAAGUUACAUUUAAGACUCCAGUUGUGACAAUGAUGACCAAUGCUCUUUGGUAUUACGUUUUCCAAUUCAACACAGGAAAUGAGUUGGAAUUUGUUUUGCAGUUUUUUUUUCAGCCUGUUUUGUGGAGUAUUUUUUCCUGUGAUCUGUAGAAACACAAUGAUAACAUUACGAACUUUGCCAGUCAUUGGCCCAUCAAAAAUGUUUGUAUGCUUGAAUGGGCAAGAAAUUACAUUUGAUGGAGUCCCAUGUGCCUCAUUAACUAAAUUUUUCUUUUCGGUUAUUAUUAAAGGACAGUAGGUGGCCAGGCACGAUGGCUCAUUCCUGUAAUCCCAGCAGUUCAGGAGGCCAAGGUGGGCAGAUCAUGAGGUCAGGAGACCAAGACCAUCCUGGCCAACACGGUGAAAUCCCGUCUCUACUAAAAAUACAAAAAUUAGCCAGGUGUGGUGGUGUGUGCCUGUAAUCCCAGCUACUAGGAGGCUGAGGCAGGAGAAUCUCUCUAACCAGGGAUUCGGAGGUUGCAGUGAGCCGAGAUUGCGCCACUACCCUCCAGCCAGGCAAUAGAGCGAGAGUCUGUCUCCAAAAAAAAAAGACUGUAGGUAUGAGAUCAGACGUGACUUUUAACUUUUAACUUUUAACUUUCAUGUUCUUCAUCUUCCAUUCUUGCCACAAAAAGACUGCCGUUUCCUUCUUCACAUUCAAUGUGUCUCAUGGGUCAGAGAAUCUGUGUGGUUACACUCUUAACUAGUACAGCCACUGUUCUUCGACUACUUAAACGCUCUUAUCCUUCCACUCAGUCAUCCAUUUGACCCCAUUUCCUUUAUAUUCUAUGCAGAAUUACAUGUGCAAUUAGGGUUUGUUUUCAUUAUUACUGUUAUUAUUAUAAUCACUAUUUGCCAAUUCUGUUGAUUACCCUUUCCAUUUGUUUUUCAACAAAACUCUCUCUGUACACCAACAACACUGCCUCAAUCUUUUAAUCUACCAGAAAAAAAAUUCAACUCCAUAAGCAAUUGGAUCAAUAAUAGUAGGAAUUCACAAUUUUCAGUCUCAGUGGUUUCCUUCAACAUUAAACUCCUUUUUAUUUUGAUUGUCCAUUACUUCAUAACUUUGAAAUCCUCUUUCAAUUUCUCUAAUGUAAUUUGACCAAGAUUGUGGCUCGCAAGACUGAACUUUUUUGAAAUAUGGACAUGGGGAGUCCCCACAUUUUGCUAGACUACAUCUUGGAGGGUGCUUGGAAAGCAGAAAUGGUGGGAAAUCGUUUUAUUUUCUGUUUGCAAAAGCCACUUUGCAACUUGUGGUUAUCCUAUUCUAUCACCAAGCUCCUGCCUGUAUUUACAGUGGGCUUUGAAGAACCAGCUGCUGAAAGUGAUAAAUCAGCAGCUGAAAAUGAUGAAUGCGAGACUGAUUGGAACUCAAAGUGAAAUAUAGGUGCUUGUCAACAAUGUUAGAUUGGUAACUUGAGGUGGCAAAGAGUGGUGACUGCUGGCAAAAUGUAUGAAUAUAUGUAUUAUAGUAGCAAUUAUACUUGCUUAUUUCAAUGUUUUUGAAGUCUUCUUAUUUAUAGAACAUUCUGGCUUUUUAUUUUGAGGAGCACUGCUAACAAUAAAUCAGAACCAACAUUUA